rnacentral:rRNA from 1 species
AGCAGCCGCGGUAAUUCCAGCUCCAAUAGCGUAUAUUAAAGUUGUUGCAGUUAAAAAGCUCGUAGUUGAAUUUCGGGAUUAGUACGUUGGUCGUGCCUUNGGUACGUACUGGUGUUACUGAUUCCUACCUUCUGACGAACCAUCAUGUCAUUAAUUUGGUGUGGNGGGGAAUCAGGACUGUUACUUUGAAAAAAUUAGAGUGUUUAAAGCAGGCUCGCGCUUGAAUACAUUAGCAUGGAAUAAUGAAAUAGGACGUUGACCCUAUUUUGUUGGUUUCUAGGAUUGACGUAAUGAUUAAUAGGGAUAGUUGGGGGCAUUAGUAUUCAAUUGUCAGAGGUGAAAUUCUUGGAUUUAUUGAAGACUAACUACUGCGAAAGCAUUUGCCAAGGAUGUUUUCAUUAAUCAAGAACGAAAGUUAGGGGAUCGAAGACGAUCAGAUACCGUCGUAGUCUUAACCAUAAACUAUGCCGACUAGGGAUCGGAUGAUGUUAUUUUUAAUGACUCA